UCUCCCCAAAUGCUUUUGCAGAAAAUCAUGAUUGGCUAAUCAAAAGAUGCUCAUUCAAUCAAUCCCUUUGUAUUAUGCACAUAAUGUGUCAAUAUUAAUUUUCAUCCCAUUUGAUAUAUAAAUAUCAUUACAUAUAUAGUUAUCUAGUUCUUCUCUAUCUUCUACAUAGAAACACAUAACAAUCCAAAUUUUACGGUCAAAUUUGAAAUGGGGGAUCUAGAGCAACUCCCUAGCUU